GGUGAAGAGCCUGCAAGAUGACUUAUGGGAAGAACAGACUCUGGUGUCCCAAUCGCAUGCGGCGUUUUGAAAUUCACAGCCAAGCCUCUUUGCAACACCGUGCUCACCCGGGGCUAAGGUACUUCUGUUUCAGGCAGUGUGGGCUUGAACUCUGGAGGCCUGGGUGCUCCCUAAUGCCACCUGCUUAAUGUGGCCUUUGGGGUCUCAGCUGUAAAGUGGGAAUCAUGACGGUAAUCACCUUAACGUGACGAGGCUCUGCACAGCUCGAGUUGUAACUGCCUCUGUACCUGCACAGGAGAUUUGAAUCUGGCAACUGUGUAUCAGGUGUGACUAUGUCCCUGUGUGAAGUCCCAAGGGAGGGGAUCCAUGUGAUUCCCUCUAAUGACCCUCCAGUGGAGAGGGAGGGGCUUUCUUCAGAAUAAAUACUAGAUGUCAGCUUUGCUAGCUGAUUAUUAUUUGUUUUGGAGGUUUGCGCACCUACUCGGAAGGAGUUGAACUAGCUGCUGGAAUGAUUAAGGAAGGCAUUUUUAGAUAAGUAUUAUCACACAACGAUCCAAUCAAUACAGGCGACCGUGCAGAAUCUGCUCGGGUAACACUGUGCCUCGUCAUUUUUAUGAGCAUACUUUCAACGGAGGGCUGGUCCUGGGGUUAUUGGCUGUGGAUGUACUUCAGGCUCAGUUGCCUCAAGUCCAAGAUCUACGGCAUAGCAACCAUUCUGGUGCAAAGCAAGACUUUUCAAGAUCUUGUAAGACCUAAAGAGGAGCCAUAAGGACUGUAUGGACUAUUCCUGGGAUGGUUCACAAAUCCAUUUGCCUGUAAGCGGCGCCUCAGGUCCUCUCUGAAAUUCUGGCCUAAACUUGUAUCAGCUCUGUAAUUGGUACCUAUGGACCUACAGGGUGACAUCCCUGGAAUCUGGAAAUCAAGCUGCCCUGUAGAAGUCAAACCCUUCAGGUCCACACAUGAUGGACAGGAUAAGUUAUCUGCACAAGGCCCCAGAGGGAACAGGAUGCCUCCCUGCUUGGGCUUGGAAAUGCGAUCCAGGCAUGCCUGCAUGUGGAGGAGCCAAAUGAAAUCUCAGAAAAGCUUCUGGACAGCAGGUUUGCAAAGCUGAUAUCCAGACCUCACCCGGGGAUGUGCAUGCAGCCUGCACAUGUAGUGGCAGGCCACCACACCUUCACCUACUUUCUUAAUCAAUACUUACAGACUACUGACCACAGCCCCAAAUGGGAGAAAACCUUCCUGCACUGCAACCCUGGGCCUGGAUGACUCAGCCAGCCUCUAACAACCUGGUGGUGCCAAAGAGCUUCUGCAGCCCUGGACAGCCAUCCAACAAGGCCUGGACUUCAGGUGCUAACAAAACCUUUGUGUACCCCUCAGUGUGGCCUCAGGCUGGCUCCACAAAGGUGCCUCUCCAGGGCAGUGAUGGGCACAGCUGCCCCGCACUUCCCCAGAGACUCUGCCAGGAGAGUCCUUGCCCCACCAGCAGCUCUUACCUUGGCCUUGUAUUCGGCCCCGGGGGUAGCCUUCUUGGCCACAGGGCGAUGGAUGCCAGAGCCUCCCGCUAGAGGGGGAACACAGAGGCCAUGAGUCAGGUAAGGCCAGGGCAAUUGGGCAGCCUUCUCCCCGGAGAGCUGCUGGGGAGAUGAGUCACAGCCAGGACCGAAUGGUUGUCCCCUACCAACAAAGAACAAAGAGACCUUCCUCGAGAAGGGACUGUCCAGCGACUUGACAAUUAGACCACCGAGCUCCUCAGACUGACCUGAAUCCAGAAACCUACCAGUGACCUCUGGAAACACAUAUAUCCUCGACUAACAUAAAAUACCUCACCCUCUCCAAACUAAAUCUGCUCCAUUUGUUCUGGGGAAAAGAACAUAGGCUUUGAAGCCAGACAGACUGGGGUUCAACUCCCAGCUCUAACCGUAGGCAUGGCUCUUAACUUUCUGGAGCCUCUUAAGCUUAUCUGUAAAAUGAGGCACUAAGGCUUGAUCUCAUUCAGGCUUCACACCAAAACUGUGAGUUAGAAAGGCAGCUCUUAUCCCAUCGUACAGACGUGAAAACUGCGGCUUCGAGAGAUCGAAGUGCUUCCAAGGCCAGUGUUAUUUCCAGCCCGGACUUCCACACAGUCAUGGAUGGAAUCACAUAGUGGCGACUAGGGAGGGCUCUCUUAGAUGACCCAGAUGAAUCUCCUUUAAAGGUGAGAAACUAGAAGGUCAGAGAGGCAGCGUGACCAGGCCAAAGUCACACAGCUAAGAGCAGCUGGCCAAGCAGUCCUGAACCCAGGCCUCCUACUGCAUCGUGUGGUACUACUGCUUCUGCACCACACCAUCUCAGAGCAGAGGAGGUGAGCUGGGCCCUGGCCUGGGGGGCCACAGAAAGAGAAGGAGCCCUGAGGCGCUCCAGCUGGGUGAGGAUGCCGUGGGGCUCUGAGAGCAUACCUGCUACUGGCAUCAGGGACCUCCCACAGGAGCCCCUGGACCUCCAGAUGCAGAACAAGAGCUCUGCUUCGAGGGCCUGGGGGCAGGGGCCCUGCGGGGGCUGCCUUG